rnacentral:rRNA from 1 species
CACGGGGGGAGCAAGCGUUGUUCGGAUUUACUGGGCGUAAAGGGCGCGUAGGCGGCCACCGCAAGUCGACUGUGAAAUCUCCGGGCUUAACCCGGAAAGGUCAGCCGAUACUGCGGGGCUAGAGUGCAGAAGGGGCAACUGGGAAUUCUCGGUGUAGCGGUGAAAUGCGUAGAUAUCGAGAGGAACACCUGCGGCGAAGGCGGGUUGCUGGGCUGACACUGACGCUGAGGCGCGAAAGCUAGGGGAGCGAACGGG